GCUAAAAAUCUAGCCCUAACAAACCCCAAUGUUACCAUCACAUUUUACCCUACAAACUAAAACAUUUCACCAUUCUAGUAAAGGAGAUUGAAAAACUUAUUGGAGCAAUAAUUAUAGUACCGCAAGGGAAAGAUGAAAUAACAAUGAAAACCCCUAAAGCAAAAAAAAGUAGAGUUUCCCCCUCGUACCUUUUGCAUCAUGGUUCAACUAGUCCAACCAAGCAAAAAGAAUUACAGUUUGACCCCCCGAAACUAAGCGAGCUACUUCGAGGCAGCUUUUUGAGCCAACCCGUCUCUGUUGCAAAAGAGUGGGAUGACCUCCAAGUAGCGGUGAUAGACCUAACGAGCUUAGUGAUAGCUGGUUACUCAAGAAAAGGAUUUUAGUCCAACUUAAAGCUUAUCCCACUUCGCUAAAAUUUUUUCUAAGCUUUAGAGUAAUUCAAAUAAGGUACAGCCUAUUUGAACUAGGAAACAACCUAAACCGACGGGUUCAAACUACCAUCCUACAUCCUCCCCCAGUUGGCCUAAAAGCAGCCACCUAUUAAAAAGCGUCACAGCUUAAUCUGGUUGAUAAAUUUAAUUCCCUUAAUCAUUUUCAACCCUCCCCCACUACUGAGUAAUUCUAUACCCCUAUAGAAGAUUUCCUGUUGAAACUAGUAACAAGAAGAAAGACCUUCUCUUUAAUGCAAGCAUAAGUCAGAAAGGACAAACCACUGACAAUUAACGUCUAUGAGUUAAAAUUAGCAACUUCUACAAGAAAAACCUACUUCCAUUAUACGUUAACCUAACACUAGAGCACUUCAAGAAAGAUUAAAAGAAAAAGAAGGAACUCGGCAAACAUUAACCCCGCCUGUUUACCAAAAACAUCGCCUCUUGCAAAUAAUAAGAGGUCCAGCCUGCCCAGUGACUCAUGUUCAACGGCCGCGGUAUCCUGACCGUGCGAAGGUAGCGUAAUCACUUGUUCUUUAAAUGGGGACUAGUAUGAAUGGCAUCACGAGGGUUAUACUGUCUCCUUUUUCCAAUCAGUGAAACUAAUCUCCCCGUGAAGAAGCGGGGAUGAAACUAUAAGACGAGAAGACCCUAUGGAGCUUUAAACCUACCUUCAGGUGCCGGAAACACCUACACUACUAACAAUAACCCAAGCACCAUGAGGCUAAGUUUUAGGUUGGGGUGACCGCGGAGUACAAAAAAACCUCCACGUUGAACUAGGCCUCAAAACCUUGAACCAAGGACUACAAUCCUACAUAUCAAAAAAAUUUUCAUCUAUUGACCCAUGAAUUUGAGCAACGAACCAAGUUACCCUAGGGAUAACAGCGCAAUCUACUUCAAGAGUUCUUAUCGACAAGUGGGUUUACGACCUCGAUGUUGGAUCAGGGUAUCCCAGUGGUGCAGCCGCUACUAAUGGUUCGUUUGUUCAACGAUUAAAACCCU
rnacentral:rRNA from 1 species